rnacentral:rRNA from 1 species
CGGGACACGUGGUAUCCUGUCUGAAUAUGGGGGGACCAUCCUCCAAGGCUAAAUACUCCUGACUGACCGAUAGUGAACCAGUACCGUGAGGGAAAGGCGAAAAGAACCCCGGCGAGGGGAGUGAAAAAGAACCUGAAACCGUGUACGUACAAGCAGUGGGAGCACGCUUAGGCGUGUGACUGCGUACCUUUUGUAUAAUGGGUCAGCGACUUAUAUUCUGUAGCAAGGUUAACCGAAUAGGGGAGCCGAAGGGAAACCGAGUCUUAACUGGGCGUUAAGUUGCAGGGUAUAGACCCGAAACCCGGUGAUCUAGCCAUGGGCAGGUUGAAGGUUGGGUAACACUAACUGGAGGACCGAACCGACUAAUGUUGAAAAAUUAGCGGAUGACUUGUGGCUGGGGGUGAAAGGCCAAUCAAACCGGGAGAUAGCUGGUUCUCCCCGAAAGCUAUUUAGGUAGCGCCUCGUGAAUUCAUCUCCGGGGGUAGAGCACUGUUUCGGCAAGGGGGUCAUCCCGACUUACCAACCCGAUGCAAACUGCGAAUACCGGAGAAUGUUAUCACGGGAGACACACGGCGGGUGCUAACGUCCGUCGUGAAGAGGGAAACAACCCAGACCGCCAGCUAAGGUCCCAAAGUCAUGGUUAAGUGGGAAACGAUGUGGGAAGGCCCAGACAGCCAGGAUGUUGGCUUAGAAGCAGCCAUCAUUUAAAGAAAGCGUAAUAGCUCACUGGUCGAGUCGGCCUGCGCGGAAGAUGUAACGGGGCUAAACCAUGCACCGAAGCUGCGGCAGCGACGCUGAUGCGUUGUUGGGUAGGGGAGCGUUCUGUAAGCCUGUGAAGGUGUGCUGUGAGGCAUGCUGGAGGUAUCAGAAGUGCGAAUGCUGACAUAAGUAACGAUAAAGCGGGUGAAAAGCCCGCUCGCCGGAAGACCAAGGGUUCCUGUCCAACGUUAAUCGGGGCAGGGUGAGUCGACCCCUAAGGCGAGGCCGAA